rnacentral:rRNA from 1 species
GACGAACGCUGGCGGCGUGCUUAACACAUGCAAGUCGAACGGAAAGGCCCUGCUUUUGUGGGGUGCUCGAGUGGCGAACGGGUGAGUAACACGUGAGUAACCUGCCCUUGACUUUGGGAUAACUUCAGGAAACUGGGGCUAAUACCGGAUAGGAGCUCCUGCUGCAUGGUGGGGGUUGGAAAGUUUCGGCGGUUGGGGAUGGACUCGCGGCUUAUCAGCUUGUUGGUGGGGUAGUGGCUUACCAAGGCUUUGACGGGUAGCCAGCCUGAGAGGGUGACCGGCCACAUUGGGACUGAGAUACGGCCCAGACUCCUACGGGAGGCAGCAGUGGGGAAUAUUGCACAAUGGGCGGAGGCCUGAUGCAGCAACGCCGCGUGCGGGAUGACGGCCUUCGGGUUGUAAACCGCUUUCGCCUGUGACGAAGCGUGAGUGACGGUAAUGGGUAAAGAAGCACCGGCUAACUACGUG